UGUCCUUCACAGUGGAAAUUUAAAGGUUAACGUUAUUUUGUGUUUCCAUAGGUGUUUCCAGUUUUUUAUUUUAUUUGCUUUUAAGUUGUUUUUCUUGAAACAAAUUGAAAUUUUAUUGGUAUUUAGUUUAAUGAGCAUACAAUUUGGUUAACUUUAUGCAGAAGUUUUGAAGAAACAUUGCAGUAUUUUGCAGAAAAGCUACCAAAAUGAGUUUAUUUACCAAAUUCAAAACUAAACAGUGGAACAUGAAGAAAGACGAUUCACAGCGAGUAUCAGAUAUUGGUGUUCCAUUUUCUGUUAAACACAACAUCCACGUGAGUGUUAAUAAUGAAACAGGAUGUAUAGAAGGGCUUCCUGACCCUUGGAUCCGACUCUUGAAACAGAACAACAUAAGUACAACAGAACA